GACGAACGCUGGCGGCGUGCUUAACACAUGCAAGUCGUACGGUAAGGCCCUUUCGGGGGUACACGAGUGGCGAACGGGUGAGUAACACGUGAGUAACCUGCCCACAACUUUGGGAUAACGCUAGGAAACUGGUGCUAAUACUGGAUAUGUGCUCCUGCUGCAUGGUGGGGGUUGGAAAGCUCCGGCGGUUGUGGAUGGACUCGCGGCCUAUCAGCUUGUUGGUGGGGUAGUGGCCUACCAAGGCGGCGACGGGUAGCCGGCCUGAGAGGGUGACCGGCCACAUUGGGACUGAGAUACGGCCCAGACUCCUACGGGAGGCAGAAGUGGGGAAUAUUGCACAAUGGGCGCAAGCCUGAUGCAGCAACGCCGCGUGCGGGAGGACGGCCUUCGGGUUGUAAACCGCUUUCAGCAGGGACGAAGCUUUUUGUGACGGUACCUGCAGAAGAAGCACCGGCUAACUACGUG
rnacentral:rRNA from 1 species